rnacentral:rRNA from 1 species
AACCUCCGCAAUGUGAGAAAUCGCGACGGGGGGAUCCCAAGUGCCAUUCUUAACGGGAUGGCUUUUCAUUAGUGUAAAGAGCUUUUGGAAUAAGGGCUGGGCAAGACCGGUGCCAGCCGCCGCGGUAACACCGGCAGCUCUAGUGGUAGCAGUUUUUAUUGGGCCUAAAGCGUCCGUAGCCGGUUUAAUAAGUCUCUGGUGAAAUCCUGUAGCUUAACUGUGGGAAUUGCUGGAGAUACUAUUAGACUUGAGACCGGGAGAGGUUAGAGGUACUCCCAGGGUAGAGGUGAAAUUCUGUAAUCCUGGGAGGACCGCCUGUUGCGAAGGCGUCUAACUGGAACGGUUCUGACGGUGAGGGACGAAAGUUAGGGGCGCGAACCGGAUUAGAUACCCGGGUAGUCCUAACCGUAAACGAUGCGGACUUGGUGUUGGGUGGCUUUGAGCUGCUCCAGUGCCGAAGGGAAGCUGUUAAGUCCGCCGCCUGGGAAGUACGGUCGCAAGACUGAAACUUAAAGGAAUU